GACGAACGCUGGCGGCGUGCUUAACACAUGCAAGUCGAGCGGUAAGGCCCUUUCGGGGGUACACGAGCGGCGAACGGGUGAGUAACACGUGGGUGACCUGCCCUCAGCUCUGGGAUAAGCCUGGGAAACCGGGUCUAAUACUGGAUAUGACUCCAUGACGCAUGUUGUGGGGUGGAAAGCCUUGUGCGGCUGAGGAUGGGCCCGCGGCCUAUCAGCUUGUUGGUGGGGUGANGGCCUACCAAGGCGACGACGGGUAGCCGGCCUGAGAGGGCGACCGGCCACACUGGGACUGAGACACGGCCCAGACUCCUGCGGGAGGCAGCAGUGGGGAAUCUUGCGCAAUGGGCGAAAGCCUGACGCAGCGACGCCGCGUGAGGGAUGACGGUCCUCGGU
rnacentral:rRNA from 1 species